rnacentral:rRNA from 1 species
GACGAACGCUGGCGGCGUGCUUAACACAUGCAAGUCGAACGGAAAGGCCCUGCUUUUGUGGGGUGCUCGAGUGGCGAACGGGUGAGUAACACGUGAGUAACCUGCCCUUGACUUUGGGAUAACUUCAGGAAACUGGGGCUAAUACCGGAUAGGAGCUCCUGCUGCAUGGUGGGGGUUGGAAAGUUUCGGCGGUUGGGGAUGGACUCGCGGCUUAUCAGCUUGUUGGUGGGGUAGUGGCUUACCAAGGCUUUGACGGGUAGCCGGCCUGAGAGGGUGACCGGCUAAACUGGGACUGAGAUACGGCCCAGACUCCUACGGGAGGCAGCAGUGGGGAAUAUUGCAAAAGGGGCGGAAGCAUGAUGCAGCAACGCAGAGUGCGGGAUGACGGCCUUCGGGUUGUAAACCGAUUUCGCCUGUGACGAAGCGUGAGUGACGGUAAUGGGUAAAGAAGCACCGGCUAACUACGUG